rnacentral:lncRNA from 1 species
AUGGCCACGCCAGCCGUGGUACCCAACUCUACUCCGGAUGUGUGCGCGUCCUCCUCGCACUCUCCCAACUCUCCCUCAUCUACUAUCUUCACAGAAGGGACAGGUCCUCCACCCCGACGUCCCGUCCCUACACCUAAAUGCUUGGAGGAUACUUCAUUAAAUUCUCUCCACCCAGACCUGCAGGCGAUCCUUCGUGCUGCCCAUAAGCCGGCCACGUCAAAGGCCUAUGCUUACAAGCUUGCAAAAUUCCAAACCUUCCUUCGGGACCGACACGUCGAUCCCUCCUCUGCUUCGAUCCCGCUGGUCCUGGACUUCCUACUUUCUCUUGCGGAUCGUCAACUCUCUCUGGCCUCGAUAAAAUCCUAUCUCGCUGCUCUCUCCUGGCAUUUCCAAUGUCAAGGACAACCCUCUCUCUUUUCUAACAACCUCAUUAAGACCUUUCUUCGAGGUUACAACAACCUCCAUCCUCCGGUUCAACCUCCGACCCCAGGGUGGAGCCUCGAACUCGUUCUUUCUCAACUGGCUUCAGCUCCCUUUGAACCUAUGGCCUCCGCCGACCUUCACCUUCUCUCUUGGAAGACUGCCUUCCUAGUUGCUAUCACCUCUGCGCGCAGGCCUUCGGAACUGGCUGCUCUUUGGGUGGACGAACCCUACCUCCGUUUCCACCACGACAGGGCUGUUCUUCGCCCGGACAUCACCUUCCUACCUAAGGUGGUCUCUGCUUUUCACCUUAACCAGGACAUAAUACUUCCUGCCUUUUUUCCUAAUCCAUCUUCUUCUUUGGAACGGAGACUUCAUCUCCUGGAUGUCAGAAGAGCCCUCCUUUUCUACAAGGACAGGACUAAAGACAUACGUAAGUCGCCUAGACUUUUUGUGGCUUAUGCUACCCAUAAGCUGGGCGAACCACUUUCUUCUCAAAGACUCUCACACUGGAUUGCUCAGGCUAUCGAACUUGCUUACCAGCUGGCUAAACGCCAAUCCCCCCUUCGAUCCGCCCUAGAUCAACGAGGGGCCUUUCCACUUCUACUGCCUUCCUGA